AUUCGAUUUACCUAACGUCUUACAGCACCCUUAGAAUGUAAGUUUGAGCAUGGCCCUUAGCAACUUCUGUUCCUGUAUGUGCAAGUUGUUAUGUUGCAAUUACUUGUUUGUUAGUCCACCUAUUGUACAUACCUGCAGAAUAUGUUGGUGUUUACAUAUAACAAUAACAAUAAAAAGCAAAUCAAACACAAUUAGAACCAUUAUGCCACUGUUUCUUAACCUGUACAUCAUUAUCCAAAAUAGGUUAUGUAUCUGCUCUUAUGUCUUCCUUAAUUGUAGAAGCAUUCAGUCCAAAAUAAGGAGCAGGCUAUGCACUUUUCUUCUCAUAGACAGC